UACGAAGGGGGCUAGCGUUGCUCGGAAUUACUGGGCGUAAAGCGCACGUAGGCGGUCUUUUAAGUCGGGGGUGAAAUCCUGGAGCUCAACUCCAGAACUGCCUUCGAUACUGGAAGACUUGAGGCCGGGAGGGGGUAGCGGAAUUCCCAGUGUAGCGGUGAAAUGCGUAGAUAUUGGGAGGAACACCAGUGGCGAAGGCGGCUACCUGGACCGGUUCUGACGCUGAUGCGCGAAAGCGUGGGUAGCAAACAGG
rnacentral:rRNA from 1 species